UACGAAGGGGGCUAGCGUUGCUCGGAAUCACUGGGCGUAAAGCGCACGUAGGCGGCUUUCUAAGUCAGGGGUGAAAUCCUGGAGCUCAACUCCAGAACUGCCUUUGAUACUGGGGAGCUCGAGUCCGGAAGAGGUGAGUGGAACUCCGAGUGUAGAGGUGAAAUUCGUAGAUAUUCGGAAGAACACCAGUGGCGAAGGCGGCUCACUGGUCCGGUACUGACGCUGAGGCACGAAAGCGUGGGGAGCAAACAGG
rnacentral:rRNA from 1 species